rnacentral:rRNA from 1 species
CGGGGUGAGUAAUGUCUGGGAAACUGCCUGAUGGAGGGGGAUAACUGCUGGAACGGUAGCUAAUACCGCAUAACGUCGCAAGACCAAAGAGGGGGACCUUCGGGCCUCUUGCCAUCGGAUGUGCCCAGAUGGGAUUAGCUAGUAGGUGGGGUAACGGCUCACCUAGGCGACGAUCCCUAGCUGGUCUGAGAGGAUGCCAGCCACACUGGAACUGAGACACGGUCCAG